UUAAGUGAUGAUAGCCUAGGGGAGACACCUGUAUCCAUGCCGAACACAGCAGUUAAGCCCUAGCACGCCUGAAGUAGUUGGGGGUUGCCCCCUGUGAGAUAGGGUCGUCGCUUGGCAAAA
rnacentral:rRNA from 2 species